UAAUUUUUUCCCCUGGGUGUUAGAUGAGU
rnacentral:piRNA from 1 species